rnacentral:sRNA from 1 species
AAAAGAGGGAAGAGAGGCCUUUUCGAAGUUCCCAUGAUCGGGCCUUUUUGUGCUCCACUUUGGAACAAAUCGGAAGCUAGGGCCUUCCAGGUAAGGCUGGCCUCUCUGCAGUCAGAGGUCUGAGCUCUGCCAUGGGGAUAGGGGUGUCUUUAUUGCUGCAGUUUUCUCUGACACCUGGGGGCCACCGGAGUGUGGGCCGAAGCAGGCGCUGCAGCCGCGGAAGUAUCCCCAGGAACAUCCCCAAGAGGAGCUGGAAAAAGCCUCAUCCCCAGCUCUGCAGUCUCCAGGGUAGAGUCUGGCCUUUGCUGUGCUCCCAAACCACGCCACAACUGGGGUGCACAGGCGUCCCCAUCCCGGCGGAAGGAAAUGGCCCUUUCUCAUAUCCUGGGGUCUUCCCUGUGCACAGUCUGACACUGGGAAGGAGUGACCUUUGUGUUCCCUGAGACGAGAGAGUGGGCUCUAGG